CGCGUAGGCGGCCAGGCAAGUCCUGGGUGAAAUCCCUCGGCUCAACCGAGGAACUGCCUCGGAAACUGCAUGGCUCGAGGCCGGGAGAGGGUAGCGGAAUUCCCAGUGUAGCGGUGAAAUGCGUAGAUAUUGGGAGGAACACCGGUGGCGAAGGCGGCUACCUGGACCGGUUCUGACGCUGAUGCGCGAAAGCGUGGGGAGCAAACAGGAUUAGAUACCCUGGUAGUCCACGCUGUAAACGAUGGGUGCUCGGUGUCGCGGGUAUCGACCCCUGCGGUGCCUUAGCUAACGCGUUAAGCACCCCGCCUGGGGAGUACGGUCGCAAGGCUGAA
rnacentral:rRNA from 1 species